CCCUUAGAUGUCCUGGGCCGCACGCGCGUUACACUGAUGCAUUCAACGAGCUUAUAACCUUGGCCGAGAGGCCUGGGCAAUCUUGUUAACGUGCAUCGUGAUAGGAAUAGAUUAUUGAAAUUAUUAAUCUUGAACGAGGAAUUCCUAGUAAACGCAGAUCAUCAAUCUGCAUUGAUUACGUCCCUGCCCUUUGUACACACCGCCCGUCGCACCUACCGAUUGGAUGGUCCGGUGAAGCCUCGGGAUUGUGGUUCUUGCCGCUUUAUUGUGGCGUGACCGCGAGAACUUGUCUAAACCUUAUCAUCUAGAGGAAGGUGAAGUCGUAACA
rnacentral:rRNA from 1 species